rnacentral:lncRNA from 1 species
AUCGACUGCACCCACGUCAAAAUAAAGGGACCUGGCGGUCCCAAUGGGGAAGUCUUCAGGAACAGGAAAGGGUUCUUCUCCCUCAACGUGCAGGCCAUCACAGGACCCCAGCUGCAGUUUUUUGACCUUGUUGCUAGAUGGCCAGGCUCCGUGCAUGACAGCAGGAUAUUCGAUAACAGUCGUGCAAGGGUCCUGUACGAGAAUCGGCGCAUCCCUGGCCUGCUGCUCGGAGAUGCAGGCUAUGCCUGCAUGUCAUUUCUUCUGACGCCCCUGACCAGCCCAGGUGUAGCCAACAGCCCAAAGGGCAGGUACCAAGCAGCUCACCUAAAAACAAGGAACUCGGUCGAACGGGCAUUUGGAGUGUUCAAGCGACGCUUCCCAUGCCUGGACAUGCGGCUACAGUACAAGGCGGAACGGUCAGCCCUCAUC